rnacentral:tRNA from 1 species
UUUAAACUCCGUAUAUAAAGGAUUUUCCUUUUAUUAGAA